AGAACGAACGCUGGCGGCAUGCCUAAUACAUGCAAGUCGAACGAGACCUUCGGGUCUAGUGGCGCACGGGUGCGUAACGCGUGGGAAUCUGCCCUUGGGUUCGGAAUAACAGUUGGAAACGACUGCUAAUACCGGAUGAUGACGUAAGUCCAAAGAUUUAUCGCCCAGGGAUGAGCCCGCGUAGGAUUAGCUAGUUGGUGGGGUAAAGGCCUACCAAGGCGACGAUCCUUAGCUGGUCUGAGAGGAUGAUCAGCCACACUGGGACUGAGACACGGCCCAGACUCCUACGGGAGGCAGCAGUAGGGAAUAUUGGACAAUGGGGGCAACCCGUGACUCCGAGACAAAUCGACCGCGUCGAGU
rnacentral:rRNA from 1 species